rnacentral:pre_miRNA from 1 species
CAUGUACUUCCUCCGUUCCGAAUUACUUGUCUUGGAUUUGUCUAGAUACGGAUGUAUCUAGACUCAUUUUAGUGCUAGAUACCUCCGUAUCUAGACAAAUCUAAGACAAGUAAUUCGGAACGGAGGGAGUAGCUA